GAAACACCUAGAGGUUGUGGAGAGGUUUAUAACACCUAGAGGUUGUAGAGGAGAGGUUUACAACACCUAGAGGUUGUAGAGGAGAGGUUUAUAACACCUAGAGGUUGUAGAAGACAGGUUUGAAACACCUAGAGGUCAUAGAUGAGAGAUUUGAAAAAGGAAAACAUAUAGCCAACAGCUCUUUAUCGGUCAGGCCUGGAAUAUAAAAAUGGAACCUCUACACCCAGUAUGCCAUUAUUGACUUGAAUUGGGAGGUCCGUUCUAUGGCAUAGAGUUUAUCCUGCAGGUUACAGAGGGGUCAGGAAAAACUCCUGGACCUACCCUUCAGAAACCCUCUGGGGGACAUGGGCUUUGAAGACUCUGGCAGCGCCUGAAACGGCUCCCUAUAUAGGGCACUACUAUAGACCAGAGCCCUAUGGCACCCUAUUCCCUAUAUAGGGCACUACUAUAGACCAGAGCCCUAUGGCACCCUAUUCCCUAUAUAUAGUGAACUACUUUAGACCAGGGCCCUAUGGAACCCUAUUCCCUAUUAUAGUGCACUACUUUCCAAAUCAACCAAAGUGUAUUGGUUGCUUGCACAGAUUUGGAAGUGUUAUAGCAGGUGCAGCAAAAUGCUUAUGUUACUAGUUCCAACAGUCUGAAACCCUAUUCCAAUAGGUCCCUACGGCCCUGGUCUGAAACCCUAUUCAAAUAGGUCCCUACGGCCCUGGUCUGAAACCCUAUUCAAAUAGUGCCCUACGGCCCUGGUCUGAAACCCUAUUCAAAUAAGUCCCUACGGCCCUGGUCUGAAACCGUAUUCCAAUAGGUCCCUACGGCCCUGGUCUGAAACCCUAUUCCAAUAGGUCCCUACGGCCCUGGUCUGAAACCCUAUUCAAAUAGGUCACUACGGCCCAGGUCCGAAACCCUAUUCAAACAGGUCCCUACGGCCCUGGUCUAAAGUAGUGCACUGGGGCCCUGGUCUGAAACCCUAUUCCAAUAGGUCCCUACAGCCCUGGUCUAAAGUAGUGCACUGGGGCACUGUGUAGUGAACGGGUUGCCAUUUCGGUUUGACCAGUUUAAAAAAGUGGUACACUAUAUAUUUAAGGGAAUGACGUAGUGGCCUAUGUAGGGAAGAGUGUGACGUUUUGGACACAGCGUGUAUGUGAUACGGGCAACACAGAGGCACCUUUUAUUUUUGUUGAAUGUGACACAGUCCUUCCAAUAUGGCACCCUACCCCUACAUCCUAUAGUAUUCCACGUAAAUAAAUAUUAUCCUAGAAAUCAGAUUUUGUAAACUAUAUCCCUGGAACCAUAUUCACAGAGUAGGAGUUUUGAUCUAGGACCAGGU
ensembl:lncRNA